rnacentral:rRNA from 1 species
UUCUUGAGUGUGUACUUGUUAAGCCUUUUAAGAAAAAAGUUAUUAACUUAAGGAAUUAUAACAAAGAAGCAACACGUAAAUGGAUUUUCCAUUUUUUAGUGUGUAUCAAUCGAGUUUCUGACCUAUCAGCUUUUGAUGUUAGGGUAUUGGCCUAACAUGGCUAUGACGGGUAACGGGGAAUUAGAGUUCGAUUCCGGAGAGGGAGCCUGAGAAAUAGCUACCACAUCUAAGGAAGGCAGCAGGCGCGUAAAUUACCCAAUUCUAAAGAAGAGAGGUAGUGACAAGAAAUAACAAUACAAGGCCAAUCUGGCUUUGUAAUUGGAAUGAUGGGAAUUUAAAACCUUCCCAAAACUCAAUUGGAGGGCAAGUCUGGUGCCAGCAGCCGCGGUAAUUCCAGCUCCAAUAGCGUAUAUUAAAAUUGUUGCAGUUAAAACGCUCGUAGUUGAAUUUCAAAGAAUCGAUAUUUUAAGUAGCACUUUGUAGAUUAAUCCACAUAACUGAUACUACGUAUCGACUUUGUGCGCAUUUUUCUACUUAUGUGUUCUUUUAAUUAAAAUGAUUCUUUUUAAGAUCUUUCUUUUUUGCUUCGGCAUUUUAGGAGAUCUUGUUACUUUGAGUAAAUUAGAGUGUUCAAAGCAAACAGAUUAUAGCAUCUUUAUGCGUUUGAAUACUACAGCAUGGAAUAACAAAAUUGAACAAGUCAGAAUUUUGUUCUUUUUUCUUAUUUUGGCUUAGUUACGAUUAAUAGGAGUAGCUUGGGGGCAUUUGUAUUCAGAUGUCAGAGGUGAAAUUCUUAGAUUUUCUGGAGACAAACAACUGCGAAAGCAUUUGCCUAAAAUACUUCCAUUAAUCAAGAACGAAAGUUAAGGGAGUGAAGACGAUCAGAUACCGUCGUAAUCUUAACCAUAAACUAUGCCGACUAGGC